GGCCUUAGGGUUGUAAAGCUCUUUUGCCAGGGAAGAAAAUGACGGGACCGGACCUGUAGGCCCCGGCUCGCUCCGUUACCAGGAGCCCCGCCGAUAAUAUAGGCCCGCAGCC
rnacentral:rRNA from 1 species